AAAGAGGUCCCGCCUGACCCAGUGACAAAUGUUCACGGCCGCGGCAACCUAACCGUGCUAAGGUAGCAUAAUCACUUGUCCCCUAAAUAGGGACUAGUAUCAACGGCAUCACGAGGGCUUUACUGUCUCCUCUCUCCAAUCAGUGAAACUGAUCUCCCCGUGAAGAAGCGGGGAUUUUAUUAUAAGACGAGAAGACCCCAUGGAGCUUUAAGCAACGCACUUACCUUUUGUUAUUAUACCAACUUAAUUAAACACCUAAGUACUAGCUUUAGGCUGGGGAGACCGCGGAGUAAAACCUAACCUCCACGACAAAUGGGCCACCCCCUUAUCCACGAGACACAACUCUAAGAAUUAAUAAACUAAUGGGGAAUGACCCGAUAAUUCGAUCAACGAACCAAGUUACCCUGGGGAUAACAGCGCAAUCUACUUUAAGAGCCCCUAUCUACAAGGAGGUGUACGACCUCUAUGUUGGAUAAGGGGAUCCCGGUGGUGCACCCCCUCCCCCGGGGGCGGGUGUUCUC
rnacentral:rRNA from 1 species